GGAGGGUGCGAGCGUUAAUCGGAAUUACUGGGCGUAAAGCGCGCGUAGGCGGUUGUUUAAGUCGGAUGUGAAAGCCCUGGGCUCAACCUGGGAACUGCAUUCGAUACUGGGCAACUAGAGUAUGAAAGAGGGAGGUAGAAUUCCAUGUGUAGCGGUGAAAUGCGUAGAUAUGUGGAGGAAUACCAGUGGCGAAGGCGGCCUCCUGGUUCAAUACUGACGCUGAGGUGCGAAAGCGUGGGGAGCAAACAGGGAUUAGAUACCCUGGUAGUCCACGCCGUAAACGAUGUCUACUAGCCCGUUGGGAGACUUGAUUUCUUAGUGGCGCAGCUAACGCACUAAGUAGACCGCCUGGGGAGUACGGCCGCAAGGUUA
rnacentral:rRNA from 1 species